UACGUAGGGUGCGAGCGUUAUUCGGAAUUACUGGGCGUAAAGCGCACGUAGGCGGCUUUGUAAGUUAGAGGUGAAAGCCUGGAGCUCAACUCCAGAAUUGCCUUUAAGACUGCAUCGCUUGAAUCCAGGAGAGGUGAGUGGAAUUCCGAGUGUAGAGGUGAAAUUCGUAGAUAUUCGCAAGAACACCAGUGGCGAAGGCGGCUCACUGGCCCGAUACUGACGCUGAGGCACGAAAGCGUGGGGAGCAAACAGG
rnacentral:rRNA from 1 species